GACGAGUCGAUAAAACAACGCGAGAUGCGUAUAUUUUGAGAUAGAGGACAUCUGAUUUGAAUAUCGAGGCACGGGAAGUGCUGAUGUUGGGCAACUUCUGAUGUGAACGGAACGUCCCACA
rnacentral:sRNA from 19 species